rnacentral:rRNA from 1 species
UGGUGGCGACCGGCGGACGGGUGCGUAACACGUAUCCAACCUGCCGAUGACUCGGGGAUAGCCUUUCGAAAGAAAGAUUAAUACCCGAUGGCAUAGUUCUUCCGCAUGGUGGAACUAUUAAAGAAUUUCGGUCAUCGAUGGGGAUGCGUUCCAUUAGGUUGUUGGCGGGGUAACGGCCCACCAAGACUACGAUGGAUAGGGGUUCUGAGAGGAAGGUCCCCCACAUUGGGACUGAGACACGGCCCAGACUCCUACGGGAGGCAGCAUG